CCUGGCGGCGAUAGCGCGGUGGUCCCACCUGACCCCAUGCCGAACUCAGAAGUGAAACGCCGUAGCGCCGAUGGUAGUGUGGGGUCUCCCCAUGUGAGAGUAGGGGACUGCCAGGC
rnacentral:rRNA from 1 species